ACUCAAAUGAAUUGACGGGGGCCCGCACAAGCGGUGGAGCAUGUGGUUUAAUUCGACGCAACGCGAAGAACCUUACCCAGGCUUGAACUGCAGAUGACAUCCUACGAAAGUAGGCUUCCGCAAGGACGUCUGUAGAGGUGCUGCAUGGCUGUCGUCAGCUCGUGUCGUGAGAUGUUGGGUUAAGUCCCGCAACGAGCGCAACCCUUGUCUUCUGUUGCCAUCGGGUUAUGCCGGGCACUCUGAAGAGACUGCCGGUGACAAACCGGAGGAAGGUGGGGAUGACGUCAAGUCAGCAUGGCCUUUAUGUCUGGGGCCACACACGUGCUACAAUGGCAGAUACAAACCGUCGCAAAACCGUAAGGUCGAGCUAAUCGGAGAAAGUCUGUCUCAGUUCGGAUUGUCGGCUGCAACUCGCCGGCAUGAAGUUGGAAUCGCUAGUAAUCGCGGAUCAGCACGCCGCGGUGAAUACGUUCCCGGGCCUUGCACACACCGCCCGU
rnacentral:rRNA from 1 species